rnacentral:rRNA from 1 species
UGGGGAAUAUUGGACAAUGGGCGCAAGCCUGAUCCAGCCAUGCCGCGUGAGUGAUGAAGGCCCUAGGGUUGUAAAGCUCUUUCACCGGUGAAGAUAAUGACGGUAACCGGAGAAGAAGCCCCGGCUAACUUCGUGCCAGCAGCCGCGGUAAUACGAAGGGGGCUAGCGUUGUUCGGAUUUACUGGGCGUAAAGCGCACGUAGGCGGACUUUUAAGUCAGGGGUGAAAUCCCGGGGCUCAACCCCGGAACUGCCUUUGAUACUGGAAGUCUUGAGUAUGGUAGAGGUGGGUGGAAUUCCGAGUGUAGAGGUGAAAUGCGUAGAUAUUCGGAGGAACACCAGUGGAGAAGGCGGCUCACUGGACCAUUACUGACGCUGAGGUGCGAAAGCGUGGGGAGCAAACAGG